CACACAACGUACUAACAGCUCUAUAAACCGACCGGUGCAUCCAUCAUCCAACAUUACAUGAGAGCGGCACAUGAAAACCCAGGCCUCACGUCCGGGGGCUCCCAUUUAAGUUUUGGCAUUACGACCUCACCUAGGGCAGGAACACCCAUGUAGGGAACCACAUGCCCGCACUAGCUUUCGCGAGAAGAUGAUUCCUGUUUGCCCACUAG